rnacentral:misc_RNA from 1 species
UCUCCGUAGGUGAACCUGCGGAGGGAUCAUUACUGAGUGAGGGCUUCGGUCCGACCUCCAACCCUUUGUGAACCAAACUUGUUGCUUCGGGGGCGACCCUGCCGCUUCGGCGGUGCGGGGCCCCCGGAGGCCAUUAAACACUGCAUCAUUGCGUCGGAGUUAAAGUAAAUUAAACAAAACUGUCAACAACGGAUCUCCUGGUUCGGGCAUCGAAGAAGAACGCAGC